CGAACGGGUGAGUAACACGUGAGUAACCUGCCCCCUUCUUCUGGAUAACCGCAUGAAAGUGUGGCUAAUACGGGAUAUUCUGUGCCUGCUGCAUGGUGGGUGUGGGAAAGAUGCGCCUUUGGGUGUUUUGGUGGGGGAUGGGCUCGCGGCCUAUCAGCUUGUUGGUGGGGUGAUGGCCUACCAAGGCGGUGACGGGUAGCCGGCCUGAGAGGGUGGACGGUCACACUGGGACUGAGACACGGCCCAG
rnacentral:rRNA from 1 species